rnacentral:rRNA from 1 species
AAGGAAUAUUGGACAAUGGUCGCAAGACUGAUCCAGCCAUGCCGCGUGCAGGAUGAACGAUCUAUGAUCUGUAAACUGCUUUUGUUCGGGAAUAAACCCCUUCACGUGUGGAGGGCUGAAUGUACCGAAAGAAUAAGGGUCGGCUAACUUCGUGCCAGCAGCCGCGGUAAGACGAAGGACCCAAGCGUUAUCCGGAUUUAUUGGGUUUAAAGGGUGCGUAGGCGGGUUGUUAAGUCAGUGGUGAAAGCCUAGAGCUUAACUCUAGAAUUGCCAUUGAUACUGACGAUCUUGAGGAUAGUUGAGGUGGGCGGAAUGUAUCAUGUAGCGGUGAAAUGCUUAGAGAUGAUACAGAACACCGAUUGCGAAGGCAGCUCACUAAGCUAUUUCUGACGCUGAGGCACGAAAGCGUGGGGAUCAAAC